AGAGUUUGAUCAUGGCUCAGAACGAACGCUGGCGGCGUGGAUAAGACAUGCAAGUCGAACGCGAACUUAUUUGAUAGCAAUAUUAAAUAAGUUUGAGUGGCGAAAGGGUGCGUAACACGUGGGAAUCUAUCGAAAAGUGGGGGAUAGCCCGCCGAAAGGCGGGGUAAUACUCCAUGUGAAGGAAACUUCAAAGCCGGGGAUCGCAAGACCUGGCGCUUUUCGAGGAGCCCGCGGCCUAUCAGCUAGUUGGUGAGGUAACGGCUCACCAAGGCAAUGACGGGUAGCUGGUCUGAGAGGACGACCAGCCACACUGGAACUGAGACACGGUCCAGACACCUACGGGUGGCAGCAGUCGAGAAUUUUUCACAAUGGGGGAAACCCUGAUGGAGCGACGCCGCGUGGAGGAUGAAGGUUUUCGGAUUGUAAACUCCUGUCACUGCAGAGCAAAGCUUUCACGUUAACACCGUGAGAGUCUGAUAGUAUGCAGGGAGGAAGGGACGGCUAACUCUGUGCCAGCAGCCGCGGUAAUACAGAGGUCCCGAGCGUUGUUCGGAUUCACUGGGCGUAAAGGGUGUGUAGGAGGUCAGAUAAGUCAGGUGUGAAAUCCCACGGCUUAACCGUGGAACUGCAUUCGAUACUGUUUGACUAGAGGUCUGGAGGGGGAAGCGGAAUUCUUGGUGUAGCGGUGAAAUGCGUAGAUAUCAAGAGGAACACCGGUGGCGAAGGCGGCUUCCUGGACAGGUCCUGNNNNNGAAACACGAAAGCCAGGGGAGCGAAUGGGAUUAGAUACCCUAGUAGUCC
rnacentral:rRNA from 1 species